rnacentral:rRNA from 1 species
UACACGCACCACGUCACCCUGAACGCACACCCGAUCUCCACAAAUCUCAGCAGCUAAGCAGACUGAACCUGGAUAGUACUUAGAUGGGCGACCACCAUGCAAGCCCUGUGUUGUCA